rnacentral:rRNA from 1 species
CCUACGGGUGACUGCAGUGAGGAAUAUUGGUCAAUGGGAGAGAGCCUGAACCAGCCAAGCCGCGUGAAGGAAGACAGCCCUAUGGGUUGUAAACCUCUUUUAUCGGGGAACAAAACCCGGGACGUGUCCCGUACUGCGUGUAUCCGAAGAAAAAGCAUCGGCUAACUCCGUGCCAGCAGCCGCGGUAAUACGGAGGAUGCGAGCGUUAUCCGGAUUUAUUGGGUUUAAAGGGUGCGUAGGCGGUCCGUUAAGUCAGCGGUAAAAUUGCGGGGCUCAACCCCGUCGGGCCGUUGAAACUGGGAGACUUGAGUUGGCGAGAAGUACGUGGAAUGCGUGGUGUAGCGGUGAAAUGCAUAGAUAUCGCGCAGAACUCCGAUUGCGAAGGCAGCGUACCGGCGCCAGACUGACGCUGAGGCACGAAAGCGUGGGGAUCGAACAGGAUUAGAUACCCUUGUAGUC